rnacentral:misc_RNA from 1 species
GAAAAUUAUAAACUUUCUAAUCAUUAAAGAUUAUUGUUACAAUAGGGAGACGACAAUUAUUAGAACAAAACGAAUGCCAGCCAAUCAUUGAAAAUUUGGGCCAUCCGAAAUACAAAGCCAUUCCUCUUGUCCUGUUCCUUGUAGAACUGCCAAUUGUGUGGUUUAAGGUUGUUUUUGGUGUUCAUAACUUUGUAUAAUCAAGUAAAAUUUCAGGCAGACUUGACAAGUACUUCGUCUUUCAUCUUUUGUCGUUGUCAAGCAAAAUGGAUGGAAGAAAACUGAUGAUGUUCAAUUCCAACAAAUGCCAAAAUUCUCAUGAUGAAGCUUUACUUGCAUUCGAAAUUUUUACCCACAAAUCAAGCGGCUUGAUUGCUUUUCCUGAUGAUUGUUUCUCACGUGCCAGGGCUACUCCUUCAGCUAGAGUGCUCACACAACCACUUACCAAGAGCGCAGCUGCUGCAUUAAGGAUAAAUGCAUCUGCAAUGGGUCCUUUCUCCCCUGAUAACACUCGUUUUAGUAUCUCUGCAUUAUAAUCCGGGCCUCCACCUCGUAAGCUGUCUAAAGUGCAAAAGGAAAUGCCAAAUUCCACUGUCCAAUAAACAUUCUCAGUUUGUGAGCAAUUUAAAUCGUUGUCCAUCCACAGUUGCAGAGAUAUGGACACUCAAGUACAAGAGAUGUGUUGCGAGUUAUCUGCUUCACUUGAGCACUUAAGAGCUCAGACACACAAAGUCAUGUUACAAGUCAG